UUCAUCAGGGCCGCCGGCAGGCGGAAGGCAAUGGCGCUUGGGAGGUUGUCGCCUGGAGGAGUUUGGUUGCUCUGCUGAGGCGGUUCCUUGCUUCACUGUGGAAUGUAACCGCACCCAAACUGUCCACCCACGGAAGAAGGAAACGAUUCUGUUUCAGUCCUGAUAGAGCAAGCAUUGUAUGUGAUAGUGAGAUUCCUCAAGACACAAAUAUACUUUAUGAAUAUUCCUGUUUUCUCUGCAAGACUGUUGGGAUCUAAAUAACUGACAACAUUUCAGCCUGCAGCUACUCAGGAGGAAGAAAAAAAAAAAAAAAGACUGGCAAGCUCUGUUCUACUCUUCUUGAACAUAUUUUUCUUAUAAAGUAGAUUUGCACUUGAACACCGUCGACAAAGGACUGUACAAGUUACCAGUGUUCCUUCAGAAGACUUUGAGAGAAUAUUAUUUUGUUGGAUUCAUCCAGUCUUUGUUGAGACAUCAUAAGGGAAUCCAGAAGUAUAGAUGGAACAUUGCCAAGAUAUGGCAUUUUGUGAACAUUUCUACUUCAAUUGAAGUCUACCAAGAUACAGCAGUCUUACACGUCCUGUCAUACACGCUGUCUGAUAUCAGCAUUCAGAAAUCAAACUAAAUCCUCUGUCAGCUUGCAGCAGUGGAACCCUGAAGACCCUCUACUUCCAUGGAAAGAAAACACAUGAAAUUAAUAAAUAUGACACAUUUAAGAACAACACUUUCACAUGUUUAAAUGUUUCAAAUGUUUUCAGAA